GAGUUCGGUUCCCGGUACCGGAGAAAAAAACCAAAAAAAAAAAAAAAAGAACAAAAGACUUGAUAGGCAUUUCUUUAGAAAAGAUACACCAAAAAGCACAUAAAAAGAUACGCAACAUCACUAAUCUUGUUUUGAGAUAGUAUCUCACUACAUAGUUCACACUGGCCUUGAACUUGCUAUGUAGCCUAGGCUGGCUUCACUUGCAGCGAUCCUCCUGCCUUAGCCUCCUGAGCACUGUGAUUAGAGACAUGUACCACCAUCCCUGUCUCAGCACCACUAAUCUUUAGAGAAAUGCAAAUAAGGACUAGGACAGUACCUGCUAAAGAUGGCUACUAUAAAAAGUAAGUAUGGGUGAAGAUGUGGAAAAACAAACUUUUGUGCACUGCUAGCAGGAACAUAAAGUAGCACAGUUGCUAUGUAAAUAAUACAGCAGUUCCUCAAAAAAUCAGCAUUUACUAUACAGUGUAGCAAUUAACCUUGUAUAUGCUCAAAAAAGCAGAAUCCUAAAGAGGUUCCUGUACCCCCAUGUUCAUAGUGGCAUUACUCAUAAUGGCCAAAACAUGGAAGCAACCUGAGUGCCCGCCAAGGGCACGGAGAGGCAGAAUGGUGCUGUGCACAGUGGACAGCGAGAAGGCCAGAGAUUAUGACGUGAGCUACCACGCGGACCCGCACUGAGGACAUUACUCUGUGAAAUAAGCCAGUCAAAAAAGACUUCACGAUCUAGAUGAAGUGCCGCUGUACCAGGAAAGGGCAAGCCGCCAUGAGACACCGCUCAGACCUGCCUGGGGCCUGGGUGGUAGAGUUCGUUUCCUAUUCAGGAGUGGCACAGACAAAAGAGAUGAACGGGAAGAACGAGAGCACAGUGUAAGAGCAAACUUCCAUGUUAUUUUAAAGUAAUAAAGGGAUUCUAAUGAUUUCAUAGAUAAAGAUAUCAAUGAAGAGCUUGUUAA